CUGAACCCUCACGGCCAUAAAACAGCCACCCUGCUGCCCCACGGGCCAGGAGAGACCAGGACACAUCAACCCUGGUGCCCUGACGGCUGUUAAAGAUGUCCUAAGUGCCCUGUAAGAUUAGCUGUACGGCCUAAUUGCUGUGGUGUCAGUGAGCGUCUCUCCCUUUGUGAUCAGGUUCACUUGGAGCUGUUAGGCUUGUUAAAUGAAAGAGCGCUGUUACAGAGGGUGGCAAGAAGUCCAGAUGAAAUGGACUUGAAUGAAGCAAUACAGUGACUUGCACUCUUGCAGGUGUCCACCAGAUGCUGCAAGCAGACUGAGCCUUUGCAGAAAAACCACAUGAUUUCACAUGUGGAAAAUCAUCUGAUUUCACGUGACAUUUCCACAUGUUUUGCACAUGAGAAAUCCUGUGUUUUUGGAACACAUGACGUGAUGAUAUUUCACAUGUGGAUUUUCACAGAAUCCGGUGAGGCACAGCAAGAGAUGUGGAUCCAGCGGGGGGAAAAGAGAGGAAGAGAGAAGCUGCUCAGAAUUUCACACGGAUUCGGAAUGUUUCGGAAUCGCCUCUACUGCAGAAUAUUUGCUGCAUGACUGACUCAGACCUUGGCCGAUGGCACGGGACUUUUGGCCAAUCAGAGAACCCCAUGGUCAGACAGACGGACAGCCCUAGCACUCCCCCCAGCCCCCUGCAGCUCUGCCAUCCAUUUUGUGUGUCUCUGCCAAAGUAGUCAGGUAGCAGGAUGAUGGGGCAAGAGGAGAGAAGAGGGCACUAGUCCAGAGGAUAUUGGGGGGAGAGAGGUAUGUUAAUGUACAGUGACAGGAAGGAAUACAGAAUCUGCUCUUUUCUUAUUUGGAGGUUUAAUUGUUGCCGACUGACUGACUGACUGACUGCAUACAAAAACAGCCUUGAAGACAGCACCGCUGGACCCUUCCCAGCUCCUCUUCUCAAAGAGCUGACCUUGGGCAGACGCCAUAAACUGUGUUUUUCCAUUGGCCCAAAAUGUGAUGCUGGCAAGGCCUGCAGCUGCACAAACCCCGUCCCACCACCCCAGCCCCCUCCGUGCCCCGCCCUGGCUCGACUCCCCCAGCAAGUCUGUGCCUGGCCUGACCCGUAACACAACCUGCCUGGCCUGCUUAUGGUGCAGAAGAGCCGGGGCCGCCCGAGCUCUAUCCAAUGCCCCUAACAUUUCCCCAGCCCUAGCUCCAACCUCAGCCCCAGUUCCAGCCCCAUGCCCCAUCCUCAGCCAAGCCCCCAGCCCCAGCUCCAACCCUGACCCCAACCUCAGACCCACGCUAAGCCCCAAACCUCCAAUCCUUAGCCAGUACUGCCCGCGGCUCUGGAAUUCUGCGCAUGCCAGGCAUUCGAUUAGACAGACAUAAUAGUGUAUAGAUCCCAUGCUGCCUGGCCAUACUACCACGGCUAUAUGGACAAGGGACAAGGCUUCAAAGACCCAUGGUGUUUAGCUAUGCUAAGCUAACUGUGCAUCAUUCCUUUAUUAGCAAUGUUAGCAAACUCAAAUAUUGCCCCCUUUUAGUCUAUAGCCUAUAGGCUACCAGUAGACCCACAUAGACUCAUCAGAAGCCUACGUUAGGCUGUAGAACACUGUUCUGACAGUCAACACCCCCAUAGCUCAGUUCUUUCGUCCUCUCUCUCUCUCUCUCCCUCUCCCUCUCCCUCUCCCUCUCUCUCUCUCUCUCUCUCUCUCUCUCUCUCUCUCUCUUUAAUAUCCUUCCUCUAAUCUGCCAUGUGCUCCAGUAUGGCACAGAACAGCCUACAUAUUGUAUUUGUGGUGAUGAAUUAUAAAUGAUAUUGCAUAACCUUUCCCGUUAUAACCUUAUCUGUGAAUCAUCUACCCAGAGACAUGCAAGCAUGGAUACAUUUCCCCGUGCUUGCAGUCUAGACCGGACCUUGUGGAAAUGAUACUGUGAAGUUGCCUGGCCUCUGGUGGGCCUGCGUUUGUUUAUGGUUACACACAAAGCAGAUGGCCACGCAACAUGGGCGCAUAUCUCACACUAACACUCACUGACACUGCCACAAGCACACACACACUCACCCACGCACACACUCACACUCUCGCACACUCACACGCCUGAGGAACAAUCGAGUUGGACUCGUGAGCUAUUUAUUUGAUCUCUGAUCUCUCUUUCUAUUCUCCCGUUAUCAAUGGGUUUCAUGAUUGUCCCAUGUGACUCAUGAGGAUACUUAACCUGAGUAGCUAGCUAGCAUUGACAACAGUGGUUUACAUGGCAGACCUGAUCCUGCCAAGGGCUCAAAUGGUAAAAUACAGCAGCUAACUGUAGCUAACUGUAUGUAAGCUAACUGUAUGUCAGCUAUAGUUAACAUUAGCUAUUUGUAGCUAACAGUACAAUAGAUAACUGUACAGUAGUAUCUAGCGGUAUCAUAGCUAAAUGUACAGUAGCUAACCAUCCUAGCUGCUAACCUGUUCAUCAAAGUUACUGUAUAUACAUUAGCCCCCUGUCCUCCCACUCUUUCAGCCAGUUCAGAGGCAGGGAGAGCGAGGAGAGAAGAGGUAUGUGUCCCACCCUCUAUUAAUAGACAGAUGGAGCUCUGUGUAGGCAGGGCGCUCCGCGGCAGGCGCAAGUCUCGUCAGAUGGCCAGGCGCUGGGGUACCGUCAGAUCGAGGGGUGCAGGGGGGACAGCCAGAGUGGAGGGUUGGACGUGUCAGAACUGUUGAUUUGACUUAAUGGACGGGGGUCACCAGGAAGAUGCAUGACUCCAUCAGUGCUUCUGUUAGCAUGGUUGCUCGUGGGUAUUAGUGGGACUAUGGCCAUUACUGAGACGAAGGACAAAGGGGUGAUAAGACCUGAGGAGUGAAUAGAACAGGAGCCAUAAAGCAGGUGGGCAGAAGAGUAUUUUGGGUCAUAUUGCUGAUCACACACUCUACAAUAGUGAGCCUGGAGGCUACAGUUAUGGCUGGCCUUUCUGGAUUAUUUUAAGAGAGGACCAAAUGCCAUGUUUCUCUGUGCUAUAGAAUUGGGAAAAUCACAUUUCUAUCACGUUAGUGUUUGUGUGUGUGUGUGUGUGUGUGUGUGUGUGUGUGUGUGUGUGUGUGUGUGUGUGUGUGUGUGUGUGUGUGUGUGUGUGUGUGUGUGUGUGUGUGUGUGUGUGUGUGUGUGUGUGUGUUUUACUAUAAAAUUCAGAGAAGUGGGGACAUUUAGCCUGUCCUCACUUGUAAAAGAAAAGCUAUUUUAGGGGUUAGGUUUAGGGUUAGUCAUUAGGUUUAGGGUUGGGAUAAGGGUUAGGGUUGUGUGUGUGUCUGUCUGUCUGUGUCUGUCUGUGUGUG